rnacentral:rRNA from 1 species
UACGUAGGGUGCGAGCGUUAAUCGGAUUUACUGGGCGUAAAGUGUGCGCAGGCGGCGCCGCAUGUCGAGUGUGAAAGCCCUGAGCUUAACUUGGGAAUUGCGCUCGAAACUACGGUGCUGGAGUGUGGCAGAGGAAGGUGGAAUUCCACGUGUAGCGGUGAAAUGCGUAGAGAUGUGGAGGAACACCGAUGGCGAAGGCAGCCUUCUGGGCCAACACUGACGCUCAUGCACGAAAGCGUGGGGAGCAAACAGG